rfam:Xenopus tropicalis strain Nigerian Chr03_contig_2036, whole genome shotgun sequence.
UUUCUCUCUCAAAGCUUUUUGCGGUCUGGGCUUGCUGUUCUCAAUCAAAGUAUCCAGGAAGCCCUUAUCCCAAAAAGAAUUUGCGAGGGAGG